rnacentral:rRNA from 1 species
AAGCUCGUAGUUGAAUUUCGGGCUCAAUUUAUUGGUCGUGCAAUAGUACGUACUGGUAUUAUUGAUUCCUACCUUCUGACGAACCAUGAUGUCAUUAAUUUGGUGUUAUGGGGAAUCAGGACUGUUACUUUGAAAAAAUUAGAGUGUUUAAAGCAGGCUCACGCUUGAAUACAUUAGCAUGGAAUAACGAAAUAGGACGUUUGAUUCUAUUUUGUUGGUUUCUAGGAUCGACGUAAUGAUUAAUAGGGAUAGUUGGG